UACGAAGGGGGCUAGCGUUGUUCGGAAUUACUGGGCGUAAAGCGCACGUAGGCGGACUAUUAAGUCAGGGGUGAAAUCCCGGGGCUCAACCCCGGAACUGCCUUUGAUACUGGUAGUCUCGAGUCCGGAAGAGGUGAGUGGAAUUCCGAGUGUAGAGGUGAAAUUCGUAGAUAUUCGGAGGAACACCAGUGGCGAAGGCGGCUCACUGGUCUGGUACUGACGCUGAGGCGCGAAGGCGUGGGGAGCGAACGGG
rnacentral:rRNA from 1 species